UACAUGGGGUGCAAACGUUGCUCGGAAUUACUGGGCGUAAAGGGCGCGUAGGCGGCGCCGCAAGUCGACUGUGAAAUCUCCGGGCUUAACUCGGAAAGGUCAACUGAUACUGUGCGACUAGAGUGCAGAAGGGGCAACUGGAAUUCUCGGUGUAGCGGUGAAAUGCGUAGAUAUCGAGAGGAACACCUGCGGCGAAGGCGGGUAGCUGGGCCGACACUGACGCUGAUGCGCGAAAGCCAGGGGAGCGAACGGG
rnacentral:rRNA from 1 species